CGCAGCCGCGGUAAUUCCAGCUCCAAUAGCGUAUAUUAAAGUUGUUGCAGUUAAAAAGCUCGUAGUUGAAUUUCGGGAUUGGCGCAUCGGUCGUGCCUCACGGGGUAUGAACUGGUGCAGUCAAUUUCUCACCUUCUGGAGAACCGCGAUGUCCUUAAUUGGAUGCCGCGGGGAACCAGGACCUUUACUUUGAAAAAAUUAGAGUGUUUAAAGCAGGCAUUUUUGCUUGAAUACAUUAGCAUGGAAUAAUAAAAUAGGACGGCAUGGUUCUAUUUUGUUGGUUUCUAGGACCACCGUAAUGAUUAAUAGGGAUAGUUGGGGGCAUUAGUAUUCAAUUGUCAGAGGUGAAAUUCUUGGAUUUAUUGAAGACUAACUACUGCGAAAGCAUUUGCCAAGGAUGUUUUCAUUAAUCAAGAACGAAAGUUAGGGGAUCGAAGACGAUCAGAUACCGUCGUAGUCUUAACCAUAAACUAUGCCGACUAGGAAUCAGACGAUGUUAAUUUUUAAUGACUCGUUUGGC
rnacentral:rRNA from 1 species